GGAAAAAAAAGAUAAAUAGAUGGCAUGCAUUCGUCCAACUUUAUUAGUAGUACACAGACCUUUAAAUUUGAGUAAAGUCCCAAAAUUAAGCCAAAAAAAAAAAUUAUAUAUAUCAUAUAAUAACUACUAAGGUACCCAAAUACAAGUUCCAAAAUUUCAUUUAUUCUUUCUACAAAUUACUUAUGUUCUGAAUAGAUGAAUGAGGCAUCACCAUUUAUAUACAGGAUUCCUCUCUUCUAGUUAGGUGUUUACCUCUCAACACACAUGAACUGAUGCGAUUAAAAACCAUCACCAGUAGGGAAAAUCUAUCUUCUCUUAAAACUCAUAUAGCCAUCCACCAACUUAACAAAUAACACAAGCAUUUGGAUUUUCCUCCAUGCUUUGAACAUAGUAAUACGUGGUCAGCUGAGGAUUGUAAGCUUUGUAGGCCUUGACCAGCUCUAAAACUGGGUCAGGUGGAGGAACAGUUGCUGGUGCUGGAGCCGGAGCUGGGUCUUUCUUUUUCUCUUCUUCCUUUUUCCCUUCCUCUUUCUUGGGUUCCUCUUUCUUUUCUUCUUCCUUCUUGGGUUCCUCUUUCUUAGCUUCCUCCUCUUUCUUGGGUUCCUCUUUCUUUUCUUCUUCCUUCUUGGGUUCCUCUUUCUUAGCUUCCUCUUCUUUCUUGGGCUCCUCCUUCUUAGCCUCCUCUUCUUUCUUGGGUUCCUCCUUCUUAGGCUCUUCUUUCUUCUCAGGCUCCUUGGCUGGCCC
rnacentral:misc_RNA from 1 species